AGUGAACGCUGGCGGUAGGCCUAACACAUGCAAGUCGAACGGCAGCACAGUAAGAGCUUGCUCUUACGGGUGGCGAGUGGCGGACGGGUGAGGAAUACAUCGGAAUCUACUUUUUCGUGGGGGAUAACGUAGGGAAACUUACGCUAAUACCGCAUACGACCUACGGGUGAAAGCAGGGGAUCUUCGGACCUUGCGCGAUUGAAUGAGCCGAUGUCGGAUUAGCUAGUUGGCGGGGUAAAGGCCCACCAAGGCGACGAUCCGUAGCUGGUCUGAGAGGAUGACAAGCCAAAUGGGAAAUGAAAAACGGCCCAGACCACGAGGGGAGGAGGCAGGGGGGAAUAUUGAACAAGGGGCCAAAGCCUGACCGAGCAAUCCCGGGGGGGUGAAGAAGGCCUUUGGUUUGAAAACCCUUUUUGUGGGAAAAAAAAAACAGCGGUUUAAUCCCCGCUUGUCUGGAGGUACCCAAAAAAAAAAGACCCGGCUAACUUGGUC
rnacentral:rRNA from 1 species